GCCCGGGUGGCGGAAUUGGUAGACGCGCCAGACUCAAAAUCUGGUAGUAGCAAUACUGUGGGGGUUCGAUUCCCUUCCCGGGCA
rnacentral:tRNA from 1 species